rnacentral:rRNA from 1 species
UGUUAAUGUAAAAUUUUAAAUUAAAUUAGUAUUAGUUAUGUUCUUUAAAGUUAAAAAUUUUGGCGGUAUUUUAGUCUGUUCAGAGGAACCUGUUCUGUAAUUGAUAGUCCACAAUUAAUUUAACUUAUUUUAAUAAAUUUGUAUAUCGUCGUUAUAAGAAAAUUUUAAUAGAAUUUAAAAUUUUUAAGAUUUUUAAUUAAAAAAUAUAUCAGAUCAAGGUGCAGUUUAUAAGUAAGAAGAAAUGGGUUACAAUAAAUUUAUUUAAAUGGAUUAAUUUUUGAAAUAUAAUUUAUGAAGGUGGAUUUGAAAGUAAAUUGAUUAAAUUAAAUUAGUUGAUUUUUGCUCUAAAAUAUGU